rnacentral:rRNA from 1 species
CUGCCAGAGCAGAGGUGGUGGCCUGGCAGGGUAGAGGGCACGCCGACCUGGCGACCUCACGGUGGAAAGGGGAAGGGGAGCGAGAGGGCCCAGGGGAGGAGAUGGGACGGCGGCACGGCAUGAAGAGGAGCCGCCGAGGGUCAGGGUCAGCGAAGGGGCGGGCGAGUGGUGUCGCCGAGGGUCAUUCGGGGGGAUCGGUGGGGGCUGCCGCCAAGGGUUUAGGGUUAUGGGUGGGGUGGUUGUUUGGGUAGGCGUAGGGGGAGCGCAGCGGGGGGGGUAGCGGCAGGGUCAAGUUGGAGUAGCGCAUGGGCGGCAGGCGUGGGGCAGGUGUUAAAGCCGGUAGCCUAAGGCUCUCUAACAAAAACCACGCCAGCUAGCUCUGGCUUUAGACUCAAACGAACCGCCUCGGACCACUCCAGGAUACGACGGAAGGGUCCUACUUUCCGCCACAAGACGUAUCCGAGGAACAGUUGUUCGAUACGAACCCGGAAGACAAUCAAGAGGAGCAACACGGCUAACAGUAAAACAACGACCCGUGUUGAGGUCUUGUCGACUUUCAAGAGAGGGUUCCAGGUCGAAUAUUGCUGCUGUGAGUGUGCUCAUAUUGGUCUGCCUUGUUUACCUUGUUUCUAACAUUGAUACGUUUCCCAUUCACCCAUCGUCUACUCUUUGCCGGUGAGAUAAGUCCAUUACUCACGUUCGUUACCGACAGUUUUUACACCCGAACAGCUUACUACGUUGCGUGCCUAAAGAAGAUACUCUCAAUGGCCACCGUCGGCGUGCCAACACUCUACGGACUCAAAAGUCCCGGAUUGAACAACUCGUCCGACUCCGUAUUUUGAGAACGAAAACACCCACUAAGGGAGCCCUCUGUCGUUAAAGUCAGGUAGUACACAUAUCGUUGUUCACCAUUUAUGUCGGGUCUACAACUUCUACAACCAACCUUUAUACCGGAACAGUUUCGAGGUCCACGAAAUUCUGGACUACCCACCCGAAUAGCUAAAGGUCUCUGAUUGUGGUGAUAGGAAAUGAUGACCAGACGAUCGGAUAGACUUAACCUUGGAAACUUGUGUUGUUUUAGUCAUUGAUCGAUACGCAACGUAGAACUAGCCGGACAUUGUAAGGACUUCUUCAUAAAGGUACCAAAACUACAAGAUCAUGAAUUGUGUCCAGUAGUGACCUUGUCUCCCUUUAAGUUACCUUUAGUGACCCUUAACAUACGGUUACCCCUCGGACAUCCCUUUCCAUCUGAACGUCUAGAGUUGGCACGUUUCUUAGAAUGUGACAUAUCGUAACGGUCCACCCACCUAAGUCUUGAGCGUUCGGCAGGAGUCUACUUUCGAAAAGACUCCUGUUACAGUGGCUCCGUAAAACAUUUACCGCUAACCUUGUGACCACCUUCAACACCAUUAUCGCAAGGGAAAAGAUUACCUUCGCUCCAGAACGUCCUAGUAAGUUCACUGAACGGACGUCUCAAACGACAUUUACCUUGAGUCCAAUUCGAAAACCUAUAAUGACGAUAGAGUGUUGAUGCUCUACUCCCCGUAUAGAGUUUAGCAUGAAAGUCUCGAGGUUGUCCGUAAGUACUAACGAACGUGACCACGGAAGGACCAUAUGGUCUAUACACCUUACUCGAGGAGAAACGUGUCUAAAUCAUGGAAAUAUGACGUCGCCACAAAAACCAGUAGGUAGGUACGGAUCCACCAAUUUCCACAGUUCUACUAUCGUAAGAAAGGUCACAUAAAGAAAAGUCUAGAAUCGGGACAAAGUCUGGUCUACGCCUUAAUCGACGAUGUCUCGGUAUACAUCACGAGGGGUCGGGGUUCCGUGCAGUUUGGAAAAAGAAAAGACAUUUUACGGUGAUAUUAAGGUCAAAUGUUACACGUCGUAUAUAAGACAUUUUUACAAGUAUGUUCAACUGGUUUGACGAUAUAGAAGAAAAUCUAAUAUAUAUAUUUCACCUUGAAAACCAACUCAGAAUACAGGGGUUUGGAGAAUAGUGACACUAAUAGGUCACAUUAACUAAAUAGAAAGUCGUGG